GCCACAUGAUGAUAUCAAGGCUGUUGUGAUUCAGUUGGUUUGGCUAAGUCCAAGGACCUUUGACUUAUUAAGGUCUGUAAUCUUGGUGGGCAAACAGAGUCAUGUGUGUUCACUGUAAGGGCGGACCAACAAGAAUUUGUUUCUACUUUCAAGUUGCCUCUCUUUAAUAGGGGUGACUCUUCCAGUUGCAAGGAAGAAAUUGUGGUAACUGGAGUGAGAGAGUAAGGACAGGAUAUAUUCAGGGUAUUGUGAUCAAGGGUCCCAAAGGACUUAGCUUGUGCUAUGGCCACUGAGAGAUGAAAACAGAUCUUUGGUAAUCUGAUGGCU
rnacentral:snoRNA from 1 species